rnacentral:rRNA from 1 species
CCUACGGGAGGCAGCAGUGAGGAAUAUUGGUCAAUGGACGAAAGUCUGAACCAGCCAAGCAGCGUGAAGGAUGACGGCCCUAUGAGUUGUAAACUGCUUUUGUAAAAGAAUAAACCUAAGUACGUGUGUUCAGCUGAAAGUACUUUACGAAUAAGGAUCGGCUAACUCCGUGCCAGCAGCCUCGGUAAUACGGAGGAUCCGAGCGUUAUCCGGAUUUAUUGGGUUUAAAGGGAGCGUAGGUGGAUUGUUAAGUAAGUGGUGAAAGUUCGGGGCUCAACCGUGAAAUUGCAUUUAAUACUGGUGGUCUUGAGUGUAGGUGAGGUAGGCGGAAUGCGUGGUGUAGCGGUGAAAUGCUUAGAGAUCACGCAGAACCCCGAUGGCGAAGGCAGCUUACUAAUCUAUGUCUGACAUUGAGGCUCGAAAGUGUGGGUAGCAAACAGGAUUAGAUACCCUUGUAGUC